GUGACAGAUUGAAACAGCCUAAAACGUGUACACAAGAAUUUUAUAAAACAUUGCAGAAUUGUUGGGAGCUAGAGCCUGAGAGACGACCAUCUUUUGAAGACCUUGUCUAUCAGUUUAAUACCAUGAUGAUGUCUCCCAAAAAA